rnacentral:rRNA from 1 species
GACGAACGCUGGCGGCGUGCUUAACACAUGCAAGUCGAACGAUGAAGCCGGAGCUUGCUCUGGUGAAUUAGUGGCGAACGGGUGAGUAACACGUGAGUAACCUGCCCUUGACUCUGGGAUAACUGCGGGAAACUGUAGCUAAUACCGGAUACGACCCUCGGCGGCAUCGCCAGGGGGUGGAAAGAAUUUCGGUCAAGGAUGGACUCGCGGCCUAUCAGCUAGUUGGUGAGGUAACGGCUCACCAAGGCGACGACGGGUAGCCGGCCUGAGAGGGUGACCGGCCACACUGGGACUGAGACACGGCCCAGACUCCUACGGGAGGCAGCAGUGGGGAAUAUUGCACAAUGGGCGCAAGCCUGAUGCAGCAACGCCGCGUGAGGGAUGACGGCCUUCGGGUUGUAAACCUCUUUUAGUAGGGAAGAAGCGAAAGUGACGGUACCUGCAGAAAAAGCACCGGCUAACUACGUGCCAGCCGCCGCCGUAA